UACAGAGGGUGCAAGCGUUGUUCGGAAUUACUGGGCGUAAAGGGCGCGUAGGCGGUUUAGCAAGUCAGAUGUGAAAGCCCGGGGCUUAACUCCGGAAUUGCAUUUGAAACUGCUAGGCUAGAGUGCAGUAGAGGAUGGCGGAAUACCUAGUGGAGAGGUGAAAUUCGUAGAUAUUAGGUGGAACACCGGUGGCGAAGGCGGCCAUCUGGGCUGUAACUGACGCUGAGGCGCGAGAGCGUGGGGAGCAAAC
rnacentral:rRNA from 1 species